CCUACGGGUGGCAGCAGUGAGGAAUAUUGGUCAAUGGACGAGAGUCUGAACCAGCCAAGUAGCGUGAAGGAUGACUGCCCUAUGGGUUGUAAACUUCUUUUAUAUGGGAAUAAAAUGUUCCACGUGUGGGAUUUUGUAUGUACCAUAUGAAUAAGGAUCGGUUAACUCCGUGCCAGCAGCCGCGGUAAUACGGAGGAUCCGAGCGUUAUCCGGAUUUAUUGGGUUUAAAGGGAGCGUAGGUGGAUUGUUAAGUCAGUUGUGAAAGUUUGCGGCUCAACCGUAAAAUUGCAGUUGAAACUGGCAGUCUUGAGUACAGUAGAGGUGGGCGGAAUUCGUGGGGUAGCGGUGAAAUGCUUAGAUAUCACGAAGAACUCCGAUUGCGAAGGCAGUUCACUGGACUGCAACUGACACUGAGGCUCGAAAGUGUGGGUAUCAAACAGGAUUAGAUACCCUUGUAGUC
rnacentral:rRNA from 1 species